GGGGUCGAAUAGGAUUCGACGCCGGCUUCAGAACCUUAGGUGCAUGCCGAGUUGGUAACAGAACUCGUAAAUCCACUGUUGCAACUUCUUAUAGUUGCCAAUGACAAUGCCUUCGAGGGCGCACGUCUCGCUGCUUAAGUGCAGCUGAAACGCCCUUCUGGUCACUUCGGUGCCAGCGAUCAUUAGAGGAUGCCUGUAAACUCGAAAUGAUUGUCAUGCAGAACAGGAUCGUCGUGCAGCACGUUGUGGGCGUAGCGACUAAAACUUACACAACUCGUCCAAAACACCCUGCCGAUCGGGCGGUUGCGGAUUAACACAGUAGACGCGGCUAAGCAUGUAGUUGACCGAUGGCAACGGGCUGGCGGACGGGGUUUCGAAACCCCCGACUCCACCA
rnacentral:tmRNA from 1 species